GACGAACGCUGGCGGCGUGCUUAACACAUGCAAGUCGAACGGGCCCGCCCCUGUUUUUGGGGGUGGGUUGAGUGGCGAACGGGUGAGUAUCACGUGAGUAACCUGCCCCCUGCUCCUGGAUAACUGCUUGAAAGGGCGGCUAAUACGGGGUGUGCCGGCUGGUCCGCAUGGGCCUGGUCGGGAUAGUUUCAUCUUCGGGUGUUUCGGUGGGGGAUGGGCUCGCGGCCUAUCAGCUUGUUGGUGGGGUGAUGGCCCACCAAGGCGGUGACGGGUAGCCGGCCUGGGAGGGUGGGCGGCCACACUGGGACUGAGACACGGCCCAGACUCCUGCGGGAGGCAGCAGUGGGGGGUAUUGCACAAUGGGCGGAAGCCUGAUGCAGCGACGUCGCGUGAGGGAUGGAGGCCGUCGGGUUGUGAACCUCUUUCUCCGGUGGUGAAGGCCCUGUCCGUUGCGGCGGGGUUGACGGUAGCCGGGUAUGAAGCGCCGGCUAACUACGUG
rnacentral:rRNA from 1 species